rnacentral:ncRNA from 1 species
UCGGUUUUACACAAGGGAAGUCGGUAAAAUGGAUCCAUAACCUCGGGAAAAGGAUUGGCUCUGAGGGCUAGGCACGAGAGUCCCAGUCUCGAACCCAUCGACUGUCGGUGAACUGCUUGAGCCGCUUCAACCGUGAGAGCAAGUUGCCGCAUCCUGCCAGGGGACGGACUCAGAACUGGUACAGACAAGUGGAAUUUGACUAUUUAAUUAAAACAAAGCAUUGUGAUGGUCCAUGCGGAGGCUAACACAAUGUGAUUUCUACCAAGUGCUCUGAAUGUCAGAGUGAAGAAAUUCAACCAAGCGCAGGUAAAUGGCAGGAGUAACUAUGACUCUCUUAAGGUAGCCAAAUGCCUCGUCAUCUAAUUAGUGAUGCACAUGAAUGGAUUAAUGAGAUUUCCACUAUCCCUAUCGACUAUCUAACGAAACCAUAGCCAAGGGAACGGGCUUGGCAGAAUCAACGGGGAAAGAAGACCCUAUUGAGCUUAACUCUAGUCCGACUUUGUGAAAUGUCUUGAGAGGUGUAGGAUGAGUGGGAGCCGAAAGGCAAAAGUGAAAUACCACUACUUUUAACGUUAUUUUACUUAUUUCAUGAAAAGGAAGCGCGACACUGCCCCUCUUUUUGGACAUAAGGCUUGCUUUGGCGGGCUGAUUUGGACGAAAGAUAUUGUCAGGUGGGGAGUUUAGCUAGGGCGAAAGAUAUUGUCAAGUGUCCUAAGAUGAGCUCAACGAGAACAGAAAUCUCGUGUAGAACAAAAGGGUAAAAGCUAAUUUGAUUUUGAUUUCCAAUACUAAUAUGAAUUAUGAAGCGUAGCCUAUCGAUCCUUUAGACCUUCGUAAUUUUAAGCUAAAGGUGUCAGAAAAGGUACCACAGGGAUAACUGGCUUGUGGCAGCCAAGUUCAUAGCGAUGUUGCUUUUUUAUCCUUCGAUGUCGACUCUUCCUAUCAUUGUGAAGCAGAAUUCACCAAGUGUUGGAUUGUUCAGUCCCAAAAGAGAAUGUGAGCUGGGUUUAGACCAUCAUGAGACGGGUUAGUUUUACCCUACUGUUGACAGGAACCGUUGAUUCGCACAAUUGGUCAUUGAGCUUGGUUGAAAAGCCAGUGGCGUGAAGCUACCGUGUGCUGGAUUAUGACUAAAUGUCUCCAAGUCAGAAUCUAGGCUAGAAAUGACGCAUGUGCCUAUUGUUCGAUUGUCGGUCAGCAGUAAGGGCCUUUCGGCCCUUAGAGGCACGUGUUGUUGACUAAGCCCUCGUGACAGAUGAGUCGUUGGGGACCCCAUGUAGCGUAAUUCCCAUUGAGCGAUUGGUAGAAUCCCUUAUAGAUGACUUAAAUAUGUGACAAGGUAUUGUAAGUGGUAGAGUGGCCUUACUACCACAAUCCAUUGUGGUUCAACUCUUCGUCGGUCCGAUUC